GGUCUCGUGGCGCAACGGUAGCGCGUCAGAUUCCAGCUCACCUUUAAAGAGUGUAUCCUGAAGGUUAUCUGUUCGAAUCAGGUCGAGAUCA